rnacentral:rRNA from 1 species
GCUACCAUGCAGUCGAGCGGUAGAGAGGUGCUUGCACCUCUUGAGAGCGGCGGACGGGUGAGUAAAGCCUAGGAAUCUGCCUGGUAGUGGGGGAUAACGCUCGGAAACGGACGCUAAUACCGCAUACGUCCUACGGGAGAAAGCAGGGGACCUUCGGGCCUUGCGCUAUCAGAUGAGCCUAGGUCGGAUUAGCUAGUUGGUGAGGUAAUGGCUCACCAAGGCGACGAUCCGUAACUGGUCUGAGAGGAUGAUCAGUCACACUGGAACUGAGACACGGUCCAGACUCCUACGGGAGGCAGCAGUGGGGAAUAUUGGACAAUGGGCGAAAGCCUGAUCCAGCCAUGCCGCGUGUGUGAAGAAGGUCUUCGGAUUGUAAAGCACUUUAAGUUGGGAGGAAGGGCAUUAACCUAAUACGUUAGUGUUUUGACGUUACCGACAGAAUAAGCACCGGCUAACUCUGUGCCAGCAGCCGCGGUAAUACAGAGGGUGCAAGCGUUAAUCGGAAUUACUGGGCGUAAAGCGCGCGUAGGUGGUUCGUUAAGUUGGAUGUGAAAUCCCCGGGCUCAACCUGGGAACUGCAUUCAAAACUGUCGAGCUAGAGUAUGGUAGAGGGUGGUGGAAUUUCCUGUGUAGCGGUGAAAUGCGUAGAUAUAGGAAGGAACACCAGUGGCGAAGGCGACCACCUGGACUGAUACUGACACUGAGGUGCGAAAGCGUGGGGAGCAAACA